rnacentral:lncRNA from 1 species
AAAGGUGAGGAAUGCCAUAAAGAGGAUCAAAGAGAAGAGGAAAGCCUUGUCUUUCACGAACUGUUCCCAGCCAAUCAGCUUUCUGCCGUCCCAGAGGGGUCCAGCCCAGACGUGGACCCACAGUCUGCCACCUCCCUCCAGCCCAGAGACCAGCGACAUCUCAGGCCCCGGCAGCACCACCUCCACCUCACUGGUCAUCAAGAGCGGUAGGAGAGGCUGGCCAGAGUGGGGUGGGUGGCUCUGGGGUUGGAGUGAAGAUUGGGGCUGUGGAGGGUUGGGG